rnacentral:lncRNA from 1 species
AUAUUCCAGAAUUAUGAUCACCUCAUGACUACAAAAAAUGCACUAAAUAAAAUAAUAUAGAAAUAUGUUUUCUUUAAAAUACUUGCUAUCUCUAGUUGGGGUUGACUAAAUGUGCAGACGUCUACUUGUGCAGUGUUACAAAAACUCUGUCACUAAAGGAUUUUUUACAGAAUGUGUUUGCUCCAUCAGCUCCAUGCGAAGAAAUGUGGUUUAAAAGAUUAAGUAAAAAAGGAAGGAAAAAAAACCUCACAAAAUAACCUUAACUAAGUUUAUGGUUUAAUGGAUAUGUCAUGGAUAAUUACUAGCAGGUGUCCAGGGCGCCUUUAGGACUAGAUGCUAGUGUUAUACCAGCUUGGAGAUGGUGAAGGAAAGAAUGAAGUGGAAUUGAGCAAGAGAGGCUGAGCGUCGCCUGCCCAAGGAAUGAAGCGGGCCUGCGUGAGGGCGGCACGGGCCUGCGUGAGGGCGGCACGGGCCUGCGUGAUGGCGGCACGGGCCUGCGUGGUGGCGGCGCAGGCCCACAGUCAGUCAGUAAGUCCACAGACUCGGCUGUAAUGAGAAUCCCGGUGUGCCAAGAUUUUUUGACAUAACUCUGCCCAGAUAGACGGCGUCUGCUCUGAAGACAUUGCCUCGUGAGUACAAAUAAGAAAGUCACUGCAUGCUGAACUUGUGCAGAGAAUGGAAGUUCAUAAUUUUGGAAAAAUCAUAAGGCUGCAGAUGCAGCUUGAACUCUGAAUUUGGCUCUGUGCAUCAUUUAAG